CAGAGGGAAGCAAGUAACUGAAAAGAUUCUCAUCUCGUGUUGUAUCGUGAAAAUAUAAACACUGACACCUUGGCUAAAGGAAUCAUAAUGUAUAGUUAUAUAAUUUAUUAGUUUGGUUAUUGAGUAAUUUAACUUGUAUUUUAAACAUUAAGGACUAGAACCCUUUGAUCGGGAAGCAAUAUCAUAGGCCCACAUAGGAGUGCAUCCCUGUAGUGUGUAGUAGUAGAGUAGGCCUAUCUAUGUCAUGGUGGUUUCCGUUUAACCUCAGGAUUUGAAGCGGCACCUUCAAUGAUUCACAACAGUUCUACAGAAGAACCAAUUGAAAACACUUUAUUUUGCACACCUUUUCAAAAAUGCAACAUCUUACUGUCCCAUGCAUCAUUCAGAAAUCAAGACAACAAUAUUAGAUUAUCAUUAUAAUUAUGCAGAAGAACCUUCAGCAACCAGAUUUAGUUACACAAGAGGGGUGUGUGUGUGUGUGUGUGUGUGUUGUUGGGGGGGGGGGGGGGAUCAUGCAGAGAGAUGUGUAGAAGUUUGACUUUGAGUGCUUCAUUGUGACAGCACGGAGGUCAAUACUAGUCUCUGUGUUGUACGCAAACAGUCACAUGUUUUUUCGCCAUGCUAAUCAAUGAGUGAUCCGUACUAGUGAGAUCUCGUUUAGAGGAAGAGUUUUAACACACACUUAACAGGGCAGUAAAGACACACAUCUUAUCUUACAAGAAAAA